rnacentral:rRNA from 1 species
GACGAACGCUGGCGGCGUGCUUAACACAUGCAAGUCGAGCGGUAAGGCCCUUUCGGGGGUACACGAGCGGCGAACGGGUGAGUAACACGUGGGUGACCUGCCCUCAGCUCUGGGAUAAGCCUGGGAAACCGGGUCUAAUACCGGAUAUGACUCCAUGACGCAUGUUGUGGGGUGGAAAGCCUUGUGCGGCUGAGGAUGGGCCCGCGGCCUAUCAGCUUGUUGGUGGGGUGAUGGCCUACCAAGGCGACGACGGGUAGCCGGCCUGAGAGGGCGACCGGCCACACUGGGACUGAGACACGGCCCAGACUCCUACGGGGGGCAGCAGUGGGGAAUCUUGCGCAAUGGGCGAAAGCCUGACGCAGCGACGCCGCGUGAGGGAUGACGGCCU